UGGACCGGAGCGACUAACGCGUCUCCCAGCAACUGUGAAAGUCAGGCACUCUGGGCAGGUCGCGGAACCUGGCAUCUCCAACCCCGGGGGGUGCCCACUGCGCGGAGGGAGCUCUGGAGAAGCGCGCAGGCUGCUGAUAGCUGUCUGGACCCCCACGGGGGCCUUCUCCUCCUCUCUUCGCCCCAAUGACAAACACACAUUUUCCGAUUCGCGUGAAAGAAGCCAAUGGGGGGCAGGGCCCGGGGUCAGUAGUUCCGCCCGCCCCCCAGCAUCGCGCACAAGGUCGCCUCCUUAUUGCAUAAUUAUGGGAUGGAGCCUGCCCGAGCCUCCCUCCAUCCGCGAGAUCCUUCUGUCGCUCCAGCGGGAUGGAAGGCUACUCCCAACCCCGGUCCCGUCCACCUGGGGUCGCGCGCGGCCCGCCCUGGCCCCCAGCUCACCUCGGAGCAGCUGGGCUCCCCAGGUCUCGGAGGCUCCGCUCGCCGCUGGGCCUGAGCGCGCGCGGUGCGGGGACCACGCCUGCGGGGACGCCACCGCGCCCAGAGGACGCGGCGGCAGCGCCGGAAGGAAGGAGAAAGCCGAGGCCGAGACGCCGGCAGGGGGCGAGGGCGCCACCACCUUCCGGCCCCUUUCACUCUCCCGCCUCUGCCUUGCCCCCGAGCCCGAUCGUGCGCGCCCCCGAGCUCCGUGCGCGCCGCCGGCAGGGGAGGAGGGAGGAGAGGAGCAGAGGAGGAGGCCCCGCCUGCAAAGGGGUCGCUAAUCCCGCGCGCAGCAACCGCACCUCCCUUCCUGCAGCGCAGAGCGCCUUCCGCCUAGCGGAGCUGGCGCCUUCCCGCUGGUCAGAAGCUGUUUUUCGUCUUCCAUGCCCCUCUGCCAUAUGCUGCUCUGCCUGUGGACAGAAACCUCUGCAAACUGAGAGCCAAAAUCAACCUUUCGAGUACCUUUUUUGGUUGUCAACAGAGUAUGUGCCAUCAUCUGUGCAUUUCCACUGUUAAAGGUUAGUCUUAGAACCCACAGGUGUUUUUUUGGCAUCUCUUCUGGAUAUCAGAGCACUCUGAGAUAUGACUGUCAAGACUUGAAUGGACAAAUAUAGGUGGGAGAAAAACUGAGAAGUAAAUUUGGACCUUCAGUGGGGCAUAGCCUAUUAUUCAGGAUCCAAGCUCUGCGAAUCAGCCCACAUGGACUCAGAUCCUCCAAACAAGCUGCAUCUUAUUGGAGAUCCUGCAGACCCUGUGACAGUGACUGUCCACAGCAUUGGGACUGUACAGAGAUGGAAAGCUGUGAGCCAGAUGAUCUCGGGCUUGGACUCUUUAGCUGCCAUUUUCUCUCAACUUGGAUAUCUGACCUAGCGUCCUGGUGACCUCUGAGCUAUUUCCGUAAGCUUAGCAGACCUCCAGCCUCCACUAGCCCAAAAGUGAACAAUGCUGUGAGGUAACGUCAGAAGCCUAGGGAAAGGACCUCCCUGCUUUGUUUGCCCACCUCUCUGAUGUUCCCCCCAUGCAUUUAUUGAACAUACUGGCUGUGACUUUCUUUUGCUCUGUGGCUAUGAAAGUUCUUGUGUCAGGAUCUAGGACAAGGUCACUGCUUCUCAUGAGUUUGGUGGGGCCCCUUGAGACGUGUAUGCCAGCUCAGGCAUACACAGUGUCUUGGCCUCCCCCUGCGAUAAUACAGACAGCUCCUCUCUUGUUCCCCAGGCCAAGGCAUGAUGUUUGGUUGAAGAUGAAAUGUUCUUCCUGUUCUGAAUCUUAAAUUAUCCCCUUAAGUUCUCUGUGAACAUGAGUCUUCUGCUGAUCCGUUAGGUAAAUGCUCUACAGGCGUUGGGCAGGUCCUUUCUCCCAUCAGGAGCAGCCCGGCUGACUGUGGCUUUCUGCAUCUUGACUUUUCUUUUCCUCAUCCUCCACUGUGCUCCCUCAGGAGUUUUAGAACUGUGGCAUUCAUGUCCUUCAGGGGAGCAUGAAUCCAUGUCCAUGGUUACUUAUAGUUGGCUCAAAAUAAACUAUUUUUAAGUUUUCCUUUAAA